GAUCAUGGCUCAGAUUGAACGCUGGCGGAAUGCUUUACACAUGCAAGUCGAACGGUAGAGGGGGCAACCCCUUGAGAGUGGCGAACGGGUGAGUAAUAUAUCGGAACGUGCCCAGUCGUGGGGGAUAACGUAGCGAAAGUUACGCUAAUACCGCAUACGAUCUAUGGAUGAAAGCGGGGGAUCGCAAGACCUCGCGCGAUUGGAGCGGCCGAUAUCAGAUUAGGUAGUUGGUAGGGUAAAGGCCUACCAAGCCAACGAUCUGUAGCUGGUCUGAGAGGACGACCAGCCACACUGGAACUGAGACACGGUCCAGACUCCUACGGGAGGCAGCAGUGGGGAAUUUUGGACAAUGGGCGAAAGCCUGAUCCAGCCAUUCCGCGUGCAGGAUGAAGGCCCUCGGGUUGUAAACUGCUUUUGUACAGAACGAAAAGGUUUCUAUUAAUACUAGGAGCUCAUGACGGUACUGUAAGAAUAAGCACCGGCUAACUACGUG
rnacentral:rRNA from 1 species